rnacentral:lncRNA from 1 species
GAAAGACUCAAAGUGAUAUUUCUGAGUUAUAAAGUAUGUAAUAUAUGUAAAGAUGGUUGUUAUAGUCAGUCAAAAUUCUUUCAAAAAGACAGCAUAAUUAAUAUAAUUCUCCAAUGAUGUUUGGGGUAUGCACAUUUCAUUGAAUCCUCAUUGAGAAAUCUAAGGGUAGUGCCUUAAGCCUUUGUUAAUUUGAAGGGUAACUGCUGAUGGCUUGGUUUGAUUCAUUUUUCUUUUAAAUCAAGUGGGGCCAAUUGAUUUGGCUGUUUCUUUCCUGUUACCUGUGAUAGAUGGCUGGGGGUGACCCCCUGCCAGGCUGCCAAGAGCCCCCAGUGACCCUGUGGCUGAGAUAUAGCUGAGGGUGAGAGAGAGUCCUUGCAGGGCUGCAGCUGACCCCACUUGUGGCUGCAUCACCCAGGUAGGGGCCUCUGGCUGCCAGCAGGAGAAGGAGGCCACCGAGGCCAAAGGUGUGGAGAUCCAGUGCUUAUAACAAGAAACCAUCUGCGCAAGGCUGGUUAUUAACCUGCAUUGGAUAUUGACAUGACAGCACUAAGCGAGAUUUUUUCACAGGCAGAUGGUGUGUUUUUAGCUAGAAUUAACUUUUUUAUAUUUCUGUGUUUUGAGCUGUCUGGCUUGGAAUAAGCAUGGCUGGGGGUAUUGCAGUGAGGGAGGCUGGGGAGGAGAGGCCCCAGCUUGGAAAGCAGCGAUCCUGCCCAUUAGUUAUUGAGAGGUGCCAUCUAGUGGGAAAGCCAGGCAUGUCCUGCUCCUUUCCCUGCUGCAGGGGGCCCAUAGUGCCUUCUCCUGGUCAAGGGCCCGGCCAGGCCCCAGGGUGCAGCUCCAGAAGGAUGCUGCUGUAGGAGUUCCCUACGGGGAGGGGCUGAGAUCUUCCUGAGCAGAACAUCAGCCCUGGCUCCUGCAACAUUUUUUUCACAUAAAACAGAAUGUCUCUCAAUCCUGAACAAUCAACAUAUGGCAAUUAAGAAAUGCCAGGAUCCAUCUAAACCACGCAGGGAAAGGGACUGUCUGAUGUGUUUUCAGUUUGCUGGGAGGAGAUAAAUGGCUUUGUUAGUUGGAAGAGCCCUCUUGGACCAUUAUGAUAAUGGCAGAUCAGGAAGCUGAACUUGGGCCUGGCCAGCUGAAUCAGCCUUGGGGUCAGCCAUGAAAACCCUUGAAUCCUGGCAGAUGGAGGGAAUCUAAACCAUCGAUGUGGUUGCUAUUUAUCUUAUUUUUCUGCUUUUUGCUCAUCCUUAUUAGCAAUUAAAUAAAUGUGAGUAUAAUAUCUAGGCAUUAUCUUUAUCCCAAUUAAUUAGUAAAAAUAAAUACAAAUGAUCCAACCCAGAUUUGGCAGGGCUGUGUGGAAAUAAUGCACAUAUACAGUACACACAGGUGGCGAUGCAUGGUGAUAGUCACUUGAGAGAGUGAAUUUGAAGAAAAAGUCACAGGAACCAUAAAAAUUGCAUAUACUUUCUAGCUAACCAAUUUCACUUCAAGGAAAAUAUUCAAAUAUUCAAUAAAACAAUUCAAAUGGAAAGAAGUAUGCAUAGCACUGCUAUUUAUAAUAGCAGGAAAAAGGGAAAUAAUUCCAAUGUUGAAAAACAGGGAAAUAGUUAAAACUAUUUAUGUAUGUAAUGUAAUACGGUAUUAAUAGCUAAUUUUAAUAAAUAGUAAAUGGGGAUGGGUAUAUGAAAUUCAGUGGAAUUUCCCAUCUACAUUAUAUACCUUAUGUAGACUCCAUACUUGUGUGCUUGGAGGGGGAAAAAAAGAAAAAGAGGAAUUGAAAAUGGUUCUGGGGUUCCUUGUGGGCUUUCCGUCUGAUGUAUGACUUACAGGGUACAGAAUGGGUAAGCAUGAGUUUCAAGUUACGGGCGUUUGUGCCUGAGGGGGUUCUAGUGUUUAAAAUGAUCUGAUCUAUGUGUCUCUGUACCAAACAAGAACCAGUCAAAUCUGUGAAGAGCCCAUCAUGGGUCCCCAGCUCCCUGGGGCUGCCUCCUUGGAAUUGUUGAAGGCCAUCUUGACUUGAGGCAGCGUCCUCACAAGCUCACUGUGGACACCACCUUCCCCAGAGGUGUGGCCCAUACAAUGUCAAGUUCCAAAGCACAGCCUCACACUGUUUGCCCCAUGAGAGUCUUAUCUGAUGUGCUUGUGCCCAUUGACCAAGGCAGGAGGGCAGCCAGACUGAGAACUAUUUGGAUAUAGGGUCUUCUCUAUGUCAGCACUGUCCAGGAGAAAUGUAAUACAAGUGAAAAACAUGGGCCAUAUAUAUAAUUUAAAAUUUUCUAGUAACCACGUUUUAAAAGUAAGAUUAAAUUCAUAAUAUACUUUAACCCACUAUAUCAAUAUACUAUCAUUUCAACAUGUAAUUAAUAUAAAAGAUAAUUAAGAUACUGUAUUUUCAAUUUUUUUUCCCUAUGAUGUCUUCAAAAUGGUGUAGAUUUUAUACAUAACAACACAUCUCAAGUCUGACUAGCUACGUGUCAGGUUACAUAUGGCCAGUGGUUACCGUAUUGGUAUCUAUAUGAUACACAAUAGAAAUAUAAAAAUAAAAAUGUUCUCAUCCUUUUGUACUGGUGUUUCCAUGAUAUAAACUGCCCUGAAAGGUUCAGAAUGUCUUUUUGUCUCUAUUUUAU